UCCUCGAAUUACGAGGCAGUCUGACUAGAGAGUGCAACUAGUCACGAGGGUUGCGCUCGUUGCGGGACUUAACCCAACACCUCACGACACGAGCUGACGACAGCCAUGCAGCACCUCUGUAGCGACCUCCGAAGAGGAAGCCCUAUUUCUAGGGCGGUCCGCUACAGUUCAAGCCCAGGUAAGGUUCUUCGCGUUGCAUCGAAUUAAGCCACAUGCUCCGCCGCUUGUGCGGGCCCCCGUCAAUUCCUUUGAGUUUUAGCCUUGCGGCCGUACUCCCCAGGCGGGGUGCUUAAUGCGUUAGCUUCGGCACGGAGCGGGUUGAAGACCUCCCCACACCUAGCACUCAACGUUUACGGCUGGGACUAC
rnacentral:misc_RNA from 1 species